rnacentral:rRNA from 1 species
UAAGCAUAUCAAUAAGCGGAGGAAAAGAAACCAACAGGGAUUGCCCUAGUAACGGCGAGUGAAGCGGCAACAGCUCAAAUUUGAAAUCUGGCCUCCUUUGGGGGUCCGAGUUGUAAUUUGCAGAGGGUGCUUUGGUGUUGACAGCGGUCUAAGUUCCUUGGAACAGGACGUCACAGAGGGUGAGAAUCCCGUACGUGGUCGCUUGCCUCCGCCGUGUAAAGCCCCUUCGACGAGUCGAGUUGUUUGGGAAUGCAGCUCUAAAUGGGAGGUAAAUUUCUUCUAAAGCUAAAUACCGGCCAGAGACCGAUAGCGCACAAGUAGAGUGAUCGAAAGAUGAAAAGCACUUUGGAAAGAGAGUCAAACAGCACGUGAAAUUGUUGAAAGGGAAGCGCUUGCAGCCAGACUUGCCCGUAGUUGCUCACCCGGACUUUUGCCCGGGGCACUCUUCUGCGGGCAGGCCAGCAUCAGUUUGGGCGACCGGAUAACGGCCUCUGUCAUGUAUCUUCCUUCGGGAUGACCUUAUAGGGGAGGCGUAAUGCGGCCAGCCCGGACUGAGGUCCGCGCUUCGGCUAGGAUGCUGGCGUAAUGGCUGUAAGCGGCCCGUCUUGAAACACGGACCAAGGAGUCUAACAUCUAUGCGAGUGUUUGGGUGUCAAGCCCGGACGCGUAAUGAAAGUGAACGGAGGUGGGAACCCUUUCGGGGGUGCACCAUCGACCGAUCCUGAUGUCUUCGGAUGGAUUUGAGUAAGAGCAUAGCUGUUGGGACCCGAAAGAUGGUGAACUAUGCUUGAAUAGGGUGAAGCCAGAGGAAACUCUGGUGGAGGCUCGCAGCGGUUCUGACGUGCAAAUCGAUCGUCAAAUUUGGGCAUAGGGGCGAAAGACUAAUCGAACUAUCUAGUAGCUGGUUCCUGCCG